rnacentral:rRNA from 1 species
CCUACGGGAGGCAGCAGUAGGGAAUUUUCCACAAUGGGCGAAAGCCUGAUGGAGCAACGCCGCGUGGGUGAAGAAGGUCUUCGGAUCGUAAAACCCUGUUGUUAGAGAAGAAAGUGCGUGAGAGUAACUGUUCACGUUUCGACGGUAUCUAACCAGAAAGCCACGGCUAACUACGUGCCAGCAGCCGCGGUAAUACGUAGGUGGCAAGCGUUAUCCGGAUUGAUUGGGCGUAAAGGGAACGCAGGCGGUCUUUUAAGUCUGAUGUGAAAGCCUUCGGCUUAACCGGAGUAGUGCAUUGGAAACUGGGAGACUUGAGUGCAGAAGAGGAGAGUGGAACUCCAUGUGUAGCGGGGAAAUGCGUAGAUAUAUGGAAGAACACCAGUGGCGAAAGCGGCUCUCUGGUCUGUAACUGACGCUGAGGUUCGAAAGCGUGGGUAGCAAACAGGAUUAGAUACCCGAGUAGUC